rnacentral:rRNA from 1 species
CACGUAGGGGGCGAGCGUUGUCCGGAAUUAUUGGGCGUAAAGAGCUCGUAGGCGGUCUGUCGCGUCGGCUGUGAAAUCCCGAGGCUCAACCUCGGGUCUGCAGUCGAUACGGGCAAACUUGAGUGUUGCAGGGGAGACUGGAAUUCCUGGUGUAGCGGUGAAAUGCGCAGAUAUCAGGAGGAACACCGGUGGCGAAGGCGGGUCUCUGGGCAACAACUGACGCUGAGGAGCGAAAGCGUGGGGAGCGAACAGG